AUGGGUCAGGACCUCUUCUGAAAUGGGAGUUUAAGACCUACAAUCAGACAAGAGGUGGGUGCUAUGCAAGUGGAGCUGGUGACUGAUGGCUGACCAUUGAUACAGGCUAGGAAUACCAAUGAGCAAGGGGACUCAGAGUCAGAGACUUGGUUCGAGAGGAGCAGACAUCAUUGGCAGAGGACGGAGCUCCAGGCUCUGCAAGGAAUCAAGGGAAGCGCCAGGCGUGGGGGCCGGAUGUGACCUCCAUUGGCUUCCGCCUCUGGGGGCUGAGAGAAGCGAAAGCGUCUUUCUGAGGGGUGUCUUGAGAGUGGCAGAGGGCAGCGGGUCCAGGCUCCGUGAGGAGGCAAGCCUUGGGAAUCUGAGGGAUGGAGACUCAGUUCCGCAGAAAGGGUCUCGGGUGCAGCCCUGCCAACAUCAAGAGGAAGAAGAAGAGGGAGGACUCAGGAGACCUUGGACUCCAGGUCAGUAGGGACCUUGGUCCUUGGAGUUCCAAGGCACAGUGGCCACAUGUGGUGCAUCCUCACUCUGCCUUUGGGGUGUCAGAGAGGAGUGGAUUGUGGUCUGAGGAGUCGAGCCUCAGGUCAACCCAGGGAGGAGUCCCAGAGCAUUGAGGGAGGACUCAGGCAACCAAUUAUCCCUGAGGUAGAAAACCUGCCCCUGCCAUCAGUCCUUGGAGGCCCCAGGCAGGACUCUAGGAAAGAGAGGCAGCUCCCCACUUCCUAGUUGGGGUUCUCUGGGAGAUGGUGGUCUUGGCCUGCAAAAGCCAUCCACAGUUCAGCAGGAGAGACAUGGAUAGGCUUUCUCAGGAGUAAAUCGGAAUACCUGGAGGAAACCCAGAGAGAGGAGGCACCCCUGAAAUCUGCUUCAUCUGUCAGCCUUUGGCAUCCCAUGAGGGGUGUCCGUGUAGUGCCCCUUCACUUUCUGCCUCCCAUAUAUCAGAGAGGUGGGGCCCUUGGUCUGAGGCAAGUCCUCAGGUCAGCAGAGGGAUACACACCUGGUCAGCACAGGGUGGAGUCCAGGAUCUGCCAGUAGUCAAGGAGAGGAAAAUUGACGAAGACUGAAGGUAAGAAUGUACCCUCCCACAUGCCAAAGAAAAAGGGACCUCACAAAUCCCUGCUUCCUCUGUUUUCAUCCCUGGGAGGCCCCAGGUAGGGGAGGCAUAUACCAUGCUCACAUUUCUGCCACGAGGUUGGGGGUGGCACCUUGCUCAGGGAGGUGAGCACCUUCUUUCAAGGGGGUGAUGACAGGUCAGCAGGUGGAGCCACACCUGAUCAGCAGAGGGAGGAGUCCCAGGAUCUUUAGGACUCAAGGUGUGUGUGUCCCCUUUGUGAGGACUGGAGAUACCCCCAUCCCAUAAUGAAGGGAUCCCACAGAGUCUCUCUGUCCCCUGUCCUUGUCUCUUUGGAGACCUGAUCAUGGGUGGCUCUAAGUGGCAAGGUCACUUGUACCACAGGGAGGAAGUUGGGGAAUCUUCAGGGAGAUGAGGUCUUGGUGUAAAGGGAUAUGUCUGCUCAUCUCAGGGGUUGGGAGUUGAGGAAGGACAGGCCCUGGCAGAAGUAAAGAUGAAAAACCCACAGGAGGACUUUGGAAUCCCCAGAACCGAAGGGUCCAGCCUCUGCUGUCAGCCCUGGACAACCACAUGAUGGGGUGAUGGGACGUGGGGCCCCUUACUUCUGUUUUGGAAUCUUGGGCAGGUGAGCACUAUGUUCUCAGAAGACGACUUCCAGUCAACAGAAAGAGCCCCAUAUGGUCCACAAAUACAGUGGUCCCAGGAUCGGCCAAGAGUCCGGAUUUUUAGAGAACAGGCCAACCAGGAGGACAGGAGUCCCAGGAGAACCCAGAGGAUCCCUGGAGGAGAACAAGUGUAAGUAGGCCUUUGUUAGAUUCUCCAUGGUUCAUAUCUCAUCUGAGUCUGCUCUCACGCUCCCUCUCUCCCCAGGCUGUGGGGCCCCAUCACCCAGAUAUUUCCCACAGUUCGGCCUGCUGACCUAACCAGAGUCAUCAUGCCUCUUGAGCAAAGAAGUCAGCACUGCAAGCCUGAGGAAGGCCUUCAGGCCCAAAAAGAAGACCUGGGCUUGGUGGGUGCACAGGCUCUCCAAGCUGAGGAGAAGGAAGCUGCCUUCUUCUCCUCUAUUCUGAAUGUGGGCACUCUAGAGGAGUUGCCUGCUGCUGAGUCACCAAGUCCUCCCCAGAAUCCUCAGGAAGAGUUCUCUCCCACUGCCAUGGGCGCCAUCUUUGGGAGCCUAUAUGAUGAGGGCUCCAGCAGCCAAGAAAAGGAGGGGCCAAGUACCUCGCCUGACCUGAUAGACCCUGAGUCCUUUUCCCAAGAUAUACUACAUGACAAGAUAAUUGAUUUGGUUCAUUUAUUGCUCCGCAAGUAUCGAGUCAAGGGGCUGAUCACAAAGGCAGAAAUGUUGGGGAGUGUCAUCAAAAAUUAUGAGAACUACUUUCCUGAGAUAUUUAGGGAAGCCUCUGCAUGCAUGCAACUGCUCUUUGGCAUUGAUGUGAAGGAAGUGGACCCCACUAGCCACUCCUAUGUCCUUGUCACCUCCCUCAACCUCUCUUAUGAUGGCAUACAGUGUAAUGAGCAGAACAUGCCCAAGUCUGGCCUCCUGAUAAUAGUCCUGGGUGUAAUCUUCAUGGAGGGGAACUGCAUCCGUGAAGAGGUUAUGUGGGAAGUCCUGAGCAUUAUGGGGGUGUAUGCUGGAAGGGAGCACUUCCUCUUUGGGGAGCCCAAGAGGCUCCUCACCCAAGAUUGGGUGCAGGAAAAGUACCUGGUGUACCGGCAGGUGCCCGGCACUGAUCCUGCAUGCUAUGAGUUCCUGUGGGGUCCAAGGGCCCACGCUGAGACCAGCAAGAUGAAAGUUCUUGAGUACAUAGCCAAUGCCAAUGGGAGGGAUCCCACUUCUUACCCAUCCCUGUAUGAAGAUGCUUUGAGAGAGGAGGGAGAGGGAGUCUGAGCGUGAGAUGCAACCAGGGCCAGCGGGCAGGGAAACGGGCCAAUGCAUGCUUCAGGGCCACACCCAGCACUUUCCCUGUCCUGUGUGAAAUCAGGCCCAUUCUUCCCUCUGUGUUUGAUGAGAGAAGUCAGUGUUCUCAGUAGUAGAAGGCACAGUGAAUGGAAGGGAACACAUUGUAUACUGCCUUUAGGUUUCUCUUCCAUCGGGUGACUUGGAGAUUUCUUUUUGUUUCCUUUUGGUAAUUUUCAAAUAUUGUUCCUGUAAUAAAAGUUUUAGUUAGCUUCAACAUCUAAGUGUAUGGAUGAUACUGACCACACAUGUUGUUUUGCUUAUCCAUUUCAAGUGCAAGUGUUUGCCAUUUUGUAAAACAUUAUGGGAAAUCUUCCAUCUUGCUGUGAUUUGCAAUAGGUAUUUUCUUGAAGAAUGUAAGAACUUAGCAAUAAAGUUGAACUGGUGUUGUGAAACAGAGAAAUAAAAGGAGAAGGUCAUU
rnacentral:sRNA from 1 species